GUGAGUAACGCGUGGGUAACCUGCCUCAUACAGGGGGAUAACAGUUAGAAAUGACUGCUAAUACCGCAUAAGCGCACAGUGCUGCAUGGCACAGUGUGAAAAACUCCGGUGGUAUGAGAUGGACCCGCGUCUGAUUAGCUAGUUGGUGGGGUAACGGCCUACCAAGGCGACGAUCAGUAGCCGGCCUGAGAGGGUGAACGGCCACAUUGGGACUGAGACACGGCCCAAACUCCUACGGGAGGCAGCAUG
rnacentral:rRNA from 1 species